CGGGGACCGUUGGCAGACUCCCCGCUCCAAGACGCCCCCCGGCGUCCAAGCUCUGC
rnacentral:ncRNA from 1 species